GAUGAACGCUGGCGGCGUGCUUAACACAUGCAAGUCGAGCGGACAGAUAAGGUGCGUGCUCCUCUGACGUUAGCGGCGGACGUGUGAGUAACACGUGCAUAACCUACCUACAAGACUGGGAUAACUUCGGGAAACCGUAGCUAAUACCGGAUAACAUAUUGAACCGCAUGGUUCAAUAGCGAAAGGCGGCUUUGCUGUCAUUUAUAGAUGGAUCCGCGCGGUAUGAGUUAGUUGGUAAGGUAACGGCUUACCAAGGCAGCGAUGCGUAGCCGACCUGAGAGGGUGUACGGGCACAGUGAAGGUGAGACGCGGUACAGACACCGAGAGGAGGCAGAGGCAGGGACUCUUCCGCGAUGGGGGAAAGCGUGACGAAGGAGCGCCGGGUGAAUGAUGAAGGUCUUCGGAUGGGAAAACGCUGUUAGCAGUGAAGAACAAAUGUGUAAGUAGCUGUGCAGAUCUUGACGGUACCUGAUGAAAAAGCCACGGCUAACUACGUG
rnacentral:rRNA from 1 species